rnacentral:rRNA from 1 species
CAGCAGCCGCGAGAAUACAGAGGGUGCGAGCGUUAAUCGGAUUUACUGGGCGUAAAGCGUGCGUAGGCGGCUUUUUAAGUCGGAUGUGAAAUCCCUGAGCUUAACUUAGGAAUUGCAUUCGAUACUGGGAAGCUAGAGUAUGGGAGAGGAUGGUAGAAUUCCAGGUGUAGCGGUGAAAUGCGUAGAGAUCUGGAGGAAUACCGAUGGCGAAGGCAGCCAUCUGGCCUAAUACUGACGCUGAGGUACGAAAGCAUGGGGAGCAAACAGGAUUAGAUACCCCUGUAGUCCCUGUCUCUUAUAC